AACGAACGCUGGCGGCGUGCUUAACACAUGCAAGUCGAACGUGAAAGUCCUUCGGGAUGAGUAAAGUGGCGCACGGGUGAGUAAUACAUCGGAACGUGCCCAGUCGUGGGGGAUAACGUAGCGAAAGCUACGCUAAUACCGCAUACGAACUGAGGUUGAAAGCGGGGGAUCGCAAGACCUCGCGCGAUUGGAGCGGCCGAUGGCAGAUUAGGUAGUUGGUGGGGUAAAGGCUCACCAAGCCGACGAUCUGUAGCUGGUCUGAGAGGACGACCAGCCAAACUGGGACUGAGACACGGCACAAACUCCUACGGGAGGCAGCAGUGGGGAAUUUUGGACAAUGGGCGCAAGCCUGAUCCAGCCAUUCCGCGUGCAGGAUGAAGGCCCUCGGGUUGUAAACUGCUUUUGUACGGAACGAAAAGGCUCUGGUUAAUACCUGGGGCUCAUGACGGUACCGUAAGAAUAAGCACCGGCUAACUACGUGCCAGCAGCCGCCGUAACAC
rnacentral:rRNA from 1 species